AUACCACUCCCUCCGUUCGGAAUUACUUGUCACAACAAUCAAUAAAAAUGAAUGUAUCUACAACUAAAAUACAUCUAGAUACAUUCAUUUCUUGGACGAGUAACUCCGAACGAAGGAAGUACCUU
rfam:Triticum aestivum genome assembly, contig: Triticum_aestivum_CS42_TGACv1_scaffold_513811_6BS